AAAAUGAUGUGGAGUGCACAUUCCAUCUGGAUGUCAAAAAGUGUAUUAUAAAAUAAGAAAUAAAAUGUAAGAAUCAGAUGUGAAAUGUUUCUGUUCCAUGUUCUGCACCUCGUCUGUGUUUGUGUUUAUGAUUAUGGAUUAUCUGAGUUUGUGUUCUGACACGCUUUCACUUCUCACUACGAUUCCUGGAUUGUCUUUAAUAAAGAACAUGCUGAGUUUACACACUUGUGUCCUGCCUUCACUCACUGCACAUCACACUCUUUAUUUAUAACUUAUUAAACCUUUCUCUCCUUCAGACGCACCAACAAGACCUUCAACAUCCACAGCAGUGAUCACAACAACUUCACCUAAUUCCAAACCAGGCCUCACAACAAAAGCUACAAAACCAACCCCAGUGGUCAGAGACAAAACACCUGCACACUCUGAAACAUCUUCUGAAAAAGAGACUCCCACAAACCCGGAUCCUCACCACACCACCAUCAUCAUCUGCACUGCUGUUGGGGUUCUGCUGCUGCUGAUACUCGGAGGAGUCAUGUACUGGAAACACAGAGGACAGAGACGAGGACAGACCGAGAUCAGUGACACAGAAGAUGCAGAAUGAUUCUGAUGUUCUGCACACAGCUAUAAAUCCACAAACAAAACGCAACAAAGCAGAAGAAAAGGUGUGUAUCAUUCUAAAAGUGUGUGUGAGUGUGUGUGUAUAAUAACAGGUUGUUUAUGUCGUAUUAAUGCAGGAUGAUGUGAUGUACUCGACUGUAGUCCACAGUAACACUGUGAGCGCAGCACACACUCCAGUGGCAUCAGGAGAUACUACAUUAUAUGCCAGCAUCAAAACUAACUAAUUAACACGCGCACAAACACAGACACACACACAGACACACAAAAUCUUUGUACUAUAUUUGUGAGGCUUUUUCACUGCUUUCACUAAUUGCAAUUUCAAUUGCUUUAUAAAGUGUCUACAACCUAACAUUUUAAAAAAAAACAAUAUGUUUGUACAGCAAUAAUAAUUUACUAUAUUUGAAGAAUAAUAAUAAUACUUCUCUUUGCUCUUACAUAUUCAGUUUAAAUGUUUUUUUUUGGCAUUGUUACAUUUUGCAAUAUCAUUAGAUAUUUAAAGCAGCAGUUUGAUCCACAUCUCCAACUUCAAGCUCUCUGCUGAAACUGUGUAUGCAUCAUGGGUUGUGUUUUAGGAAAACUUUUAGAGCUGAAGGAAGUCUGUCUCGGCUGAGGCGGAGGUGAUUUCUGGGCUGUAAAUUCAGACACCUAAAAGAAUGAAACUAUAAAAAUCCAAUUUUUGUGAAUUAUCUUUGAAAUGAUAUGAUUCUUUUAGGUCUAUACAUGCCUGUAAAAAUGACAAAAGCUCACAGCUUUGGAUAAAAUAGACUUCCUUGGUGUUUUUAGCAGUAACAGUUUCUGUG